rnacentral:rRNA from 1 species
GGUUAAGCGACUAAGCGUACACGGUGGAUGCCCUGGCAGUCAGAGGCGAUGAAGGACGUGCUAAUCUGCGAUAAGCGCCGGUAAGGUGAUAUGAACCGUUAUAACCGGCGAUWYCCGAAUGGGGAAACCCAGUGUGACUCGUCACACUAUCAUUAACUGAAUCCAUAGGUUAAUGAGGCGAACCGGGGGAACUGAAACAUCUAAGUACCCCGAGGAAAAGAAAUCAACCGAGAUUCCCCCAGUAGCGGCGAGCGAACGGGGAGGAGCCCAGAGCCUGAAUCAGCAUGUGUGUUAGUGGAAGCGUCUGGAAAGGCGCGCGAUACAGGGUGACAGCCCCGUACACAAAAGCGCAUGUGCUGUGAGUGUGAG